rnacentral:lncRNA from 10 species
UGAAGGUUGGCUUUUUUUGUUGUUUUUGUUUUUUGUGGUCGUUGUUUUUGUCAGUUUUGGGGAAAAUGAGCUGUCUUCUCACUCAAAUUGGAACUGUUGGCUAUAGAGAUAAAGUAAUCCUGGAGAUUUGGGAGGGUCAUCUGUUGUAGAGAAUGACACCAACCAGAAGCAGAAUGAGGAAAGUUGGAGACUGAGUACUGUUGCCAUGAUUUGAACCCUUCGAUCUAGCCAUGCCUGAAGAUUUCUCACUGUCUCGUCUUUUCAGUUACAGAAGCCUCAACUUGGCUUCUCACACUUGCAAAAAGGAGUCCUAGCUGAUACAGGGGUACAGGCCCCUAACCCGUCUGAAGCCAAAUCUCCGGGAAGAUAUGUUUACACUAAGAGAGAGAGAGAGUCAUGGAUUACCUUCAUGCCAACACUGACCAAGCCAGUCAUCCUUCACUGGGGGGGUUGGAUGGUUGUACCCAGUGUCAUGAAAGAUUAUCACAAAAGACCUGAUCUCAGGGACAACAAUAACAACAGCAAGAAUUAUUUAGGUUCUGGAAUACAUUUCAUCUGAGGUUUACGAAGCCUUUGACAGCAAAAUUAAAUCUGACAUCACUCCCCAGGUUAACAAAGCAAUGUUGCAGUCUUCG